ensembl:lncRNA
CAAAUCACUCCUUGCUUGAAAACCUUUAGGAUUUUUUAACAUAUAAGAGAAAAUUAAAAUACUUUGGCCUUACAUUUAGUGCAUUUCACAAGCUGAUCACAAGGUCCCUUCCCAGCCUUCCCUUUUCUCUCUCUUUUUAAACUUCUCAAUUCAUCCAAAGAAGUCUCCUUACUGUCUGCCUCUCUUAUAAAAUCCCAACCUAACUUUGUUCUUUUCCACGUAAGUUCCUCUGCUUAUGUAUCUUUUCCUGGUCAACAAAAUCUUCCUUUUCCUUUAGGCUCCAGUUCAAAUUCCAUUUCUUACAUGUAACCCUUGAUAGUUCAUCUUUUUUUUUUUGAGAUGGAGUUUCGCUCUUGUUGCCCAGGCUGGUGUGCAAUGGCACGAUCUCAGCUCACCGCAAGCUCUGCCUCCUGGAUUCAAGUGAUUCCCCUGCCUCAGCCUCCCGAGUAGCUGGGAUUACAGGCACAUGCCACCACACCUGGCUAAUUUUGUACUUUUAGUAGAGAUGGGGUUUCUCCAUGUUGGUCAGGCUGGUCUCAAACUCCUGACCUCAGGUGAUCCACCCGCCUUGGCCUCCCAAAAUGCCGGGAUUCAGGCAUGAGCACCGCACCUGACUGACAGCUCAUUCUCUUUUACCCACAUCGCAUCUGUCCGGAAAUCCCACUGGCUAUACCUUCAAAAUACAUCCAGAAUCCAAUCACGUACCACCUCCACUACCAUCUCUCUGGUCCAAGCCAUCAUCAUCUCCCACCAGCUGUCUCUGCUUUUGCUCUUUUAUACUCUAGAAUCUAUUCUCAACCCAAAUUCCAGAAGUGACCCUUUUAAAACAGAUAUCAAAACUCUCCAAUGAACCUUCACUUCCUGUCAUGUAAAAACCAAAAUUCUUUUAUGUGCUAGACUGUGAACACCCAUAAUGUCCUACACGACUGCUCUGCUCCUCAACCUCUCUGAUCCCUUUUGAUUCUUGCCCUUGCUACCUUGCCACACCCAGAACUCAAAAUGCAUGCUCAUGUCUUAGGCCCUUUGCAGUGGCUGCUGUCUGCCUGGAAUGCCCUUCCUCCAGAUAUCCUCAGGCUUAAGACUUUUUCAAGACUCUGCUCAAAGACAAUCAUGACCUUCCAGACAAUCUUCCCACACCCCAACACUCCCUAUCUUCCUAUAUGUUUACCCCAUAACAUACUACAGAGUCUGCUUAGGUUUAUUGUCUGUCUUUCCCAAGAGAACAGGGCUUUGAUCUUUUGCUCACUGCAGCAUCCUGGGAGCCUAGAAUGGCACCUGGCACACAUUAUGUGCUCAACGUUUGCUGAAUGGAUAAAUGAAUAGAUGCUGUCACAACACCUCAGUCAAAGGUUCUCUCUCCUUUUCUCUUGCUUAUACUAAUCAUUUGGCACUUACCAUACACUGUUGUGUAGUUUUCUGUGUGUACAUAUGAUCCACCUGCCUAGAUUAUGUGUUCCUAUGCCCUCCAAAUGCUCUGCACAAAUUUAGCAUUUAAUAAAUAUUUGCUGAUGAAAUAUCACUGCACUGCCUUUUUAUUUCAGAGUAGAUAGUGAUGGUAAUAAUUUUCAAAACAAGACAUUCCUCUUAGAAAAGAAACAUUCUAGAAAGCAAUAUGAUGUAAGAAAAAAAUAUUUAAUUUGAAAAGUUAAUCUUAAAAAGAAUGGAACAUAUCUUAAAGGUGCAUAUACAUUAUACAAAAUCCACAUCAUGCUCUGAAAAUAUUUAUUCUGUGACUUUCACAGCCUCUUAUGUCCUAAAGAUAUGCUUGAGAGUCAAGCUCAAGGUAAUUUUUGAUAGUAAGGUAAUUUGAGACAUAGAACAUAUAUGAAAUAAUAAUUAUAUGUUGGGAAUUGAGGUAAUAUAUGACAGAAAUAAAACAAUGUGAAAUAGGUCACAUUAUAUAUAUAUAUAUCUAUGUAUUUUAUUUUUAUUUUUUGAGACAGAGUCUUGCCCUCUGUUGCCCAGGCAGUGGCAUGAUGUUGGCUCACUGCAACCUCCACCUCCCAGGUUCAAGCAAUUCUUGUGCCUCAGCCUCCUGAGUAGCUGGGAUUGCGGGCGUGCACCAUCAUGCCUGGCUAAUUUUUAUAUUUUUAGUAGAGAUGGGAUCUCGCUAUGUUGGCCAGGCUGCUCUUGAAUUCCUGACCUCAGGUGAUCCACCAGCCUCGGCCUCCCAAAGUGCUGGGAUUACAGGUGUGAGCCACCGCUCCUAGUCUUUUGUCACGUUUUAAAAUCUAAUAGCAAAAAGUUUUGGAAAACAAGUUAGACAACUUUCUAACAACAGAUGUAGAUCUUUUCAGUUACCUUGACUGUAGUUCAUGCAUAAUUCUCUUUGUGAGUGUUGGUGGGGAGAUCAGUAAAUAGACUCUUGCAUGACUUACGGUUUCUUUUUUUUUUGUUUGUUUUUGAGACGGAGUUUUGCUCUUGUUGCCCGGGAUGGAUUGCAAUGGCGUGAUCUUGGCUCAUUGCAACCUCCGCCUCCCAGGUUCAAGCAAUGCUCCUGC